rnacentral:rRNA from 1 species
GACGAACGCUGGCGGCGCGCUUAACACAUGCAAGUCGAACGAACCCUUCGGGGUUAGUGGCGGACGGGUGAGUAACACGUGGGAACGUGCCCUUUGGUUCGGAACAACUCAGGGAAACUUGAGCUAAUACCGAAUGUGCCCUUCGGGGGAAAGAUUUAUCGCCAUUGGAGCGGCCCGCGUCUGAUUAGCUUGUUGGUGAGGUAAAGGCUCACCAAGGCUACGAUCAGUAGCUGGUCUGAGAGGAUGAUCAGCCACAUUGGGACUGAGACACGGCCCAAACUCCUACGGGAGGCAGCAGUGGGGAAUCUUGCGCAAUGGGCGAAAGCCUGACGCAGCCAUGCCGCGUGAAUGAUGAAGGUCUUAGGAUUGUAAAAUUCUUUCACCGGGGACGAUAAUGACGGUACCCGGAGAAGAAGCCCCGGCUAACUUCGUGCCAGCCGCCGCAGUAAAAC